rnacentral:rRNA from 1 species
GAACGUCGUGAGACAGUUCGGUCUCUAUCUAUCGUGGGCGUAUGAAAUUUGCGUGGCUCUGACACUAGUACGAGAGGACCGUGUUGGACUGACCUCUGGUUAACCGGUUGUGCCGCCAGGUGCAUCGCCGGGUAUCUACGUCGGGAUCGGAUAAGCGCUGAAAGCAUCUAAGUGCGAAGCCGGCCACAAGAUUAGAUUUCUCAGGGUCGUCAUAGACGAUGACGUUGAUAGGGUGCAGGUGUAUAGGUGGAGACAUCACAGCCGAGCACUACUAAUUGCCCGUUUGCUUUCUUUA